GUCCACGCCCUAAACGAUGUCGACUGGUUGUUGGGGGUUUGACACUCUCAGUAACGAAGCUAACGCGUGAAGUCGACCGCCUGGGGAGUACGGCCGCAAGGUUAAAACUCAAAGGAAUUGACGGGGACCCGCACAAGCGGUGGAUUAUGUGGAUUAAUUCGAUGCAACGCGAAAACCUUACCUACCCUUGACAUGUCCGAGAGGCUGGAGAGAUCCAGCUGUGCCCGAAAGGGAAUCGGAACACAGGUGCUGCAUGGCUGUCGU
rnacentral:rRNA from 1 species